rnacentral:tRNA from 1 species
GCCGGGAUGGCGGAACUGGCAGACGCGCAUGGCUUAGGACCAUGUAGGUGAAAACCUUUAGGAGUUCAACUCUCCUUCCCGGCA